AGUGAACGCUGGCGGCAGGCCUAACACAUGCAAGUCGAACGGCAGCACAGUAAGAGCUUGCUCUUACGGGCGGCGAGUGGCGGACGGGUGAGGAAUACACCGGAAUCUACUUUGUCGUGGGGGAUAACGUAGGGAAACUUACGCUAAUACCGCAUACGACCUACGGGUGAAAGCAGGGGAUCUUCAGAGCUUGCGCGAUUGGAGGAGCCGAUGUCGGAUUAGCUAGUGGGCAGGGUAAAGGCCUACCAAGGCGACGAUCCGUAGCUGGUCAGAGAGGAUGGUCAGCGACACUGGGGGGGGGACGCGGCCCAGAAUCGGACGGGAGGGGGGAGAGGGGAAUAUUGGAAGAUGGGCGAAAGGCUGAUGCAGCAAGGCCGGGUGAGUGAUGAAGGCCGGAGGGUUGUAAAGCUCUUUUACCCGGGAUGAUAAUGACGGUACCGGGAGAAUAAGCACCGGCUAACUACGUG
rnacentral:rRNA from 1 species